UGCAGUCGAACGAUGAUCGGUGCUUGCACCGUGGAUUAUUGGCGAACGGGUGAGUAACACGUGAGUAACCUGCCUUCCACUCUAGGAUAAGCGCUGGAAACGGCGUCUAAUACUGGAUAUGACAUUGCCCUGCAUGGGGUGGUGUGGAAAGAUUUAUUUCGGUGGUUGAUGGACUCCCGGCCUAUCAGCUUGUUGGUGGGGUAAUGGCCUACCAAGGCGACGACGGGUAGCCGGCCUGAGAGGGUGACCGGCCACACUGGGACUGAGACACGGCCCAGACUCCUACGGGAGGCAGCAGUGGGGAAUAUUGCACAAUGGGCGCAAGCCUGAUGCAGCGACGCCGCGUGAGGGAUGACGGCCUUCGGGUUGUAAACCUCUUUCAGCUUUGACGAAGCCCCUUGUGGGUGACGGUAGGAGCAGAAGAAGCACCGGCUAACUACGUGCCAGCAGCCGCGGUAAUACGUAGGGUGCGAGCGUUGUCCGGAAUUAUUGGGCGUAAAGAGCUUGUAGGCGGCUUGUCGCGUCUGCUGUGAAAGCCCGGGGCUUAACCCCGGGUCUGCAGUGGGUACGGGCAGGCUAGAGUGUGGUAGGGGAGACUGGAAUUCCUGGUGUAGCGGUGGAAUGCGCAGAUAUCAGGAGGAACACCGAUGGCGAAGGCAGGUCUCUGGGCCAUUACUGACGCUGA
rnacentral:rRNA from 1 species